GUUAGGUUCUAUUUUUUCUUUGCUAUGGCUACUUCAUCAUUAAUGCAGAAAUUGAAAUACUUCAACAUGAUGACAGGAAUGUCAUUGAUUAAUGAUGAAGAAAAGGCAGUUAUUUUAGCAACAGAAGCUGGCUUGCUUCCGAAAAAAGAGGAGGCCCCACCUUGCCCAAAAUGUGGUCAUAAGAUGAAUGCCAAUUCCAGGAAAGAAGCAAAACUUGGCUGGAGAUGGAUUUGCAGCAACAGGAAUAGAGGCAAGUGUCCAGGAAUGGUUAACCCCGUUGCAGGCACAUUUUUUGAGGGGACCAAAGUUCCAGUCAGGGAGUGCAUGGUCUUCAUAUUCCUCUUUGUACUGGAGAUGAAUUUCACGUUUAUAAAGAUGAAUUUUAUGUCAUGGAGGAAAGAGCAGAAGUUGCCAGAAAUACGCGACGAAACAAUAUGCGACUUUAUGUCCUAUUGUAGAGAAAUCUGUGAGGUAUUUGCCUCUCAUCACAGUACACAACUUGGUGGAGCAGGUGAAUUUGUAGCUAAAAAGGAUAAAUUCAAUACGAUAAAUCAGUUAGAAAAUGAAAACAAAAUUUUUAAAAGAACAAUUGUUAAUAGACGCAAUGAUCAAAGUCUGAUACAGUAUAUGGCCCUUCAUUAUUACAAGCGUUUUCGUUUGAAGCAAUUUCAAUAUCCGGGCGAAAAAAUUUACCAGUUCCUACAAGAUAUUAAAACUGUAUAUCCUGGCUAUGGAAAAAAUGGUUUAGAGUUGAAAUUUAUAAAUGAGCCAACAGUACAAAGUGAGGAUAUUGAAGAUUUAAUGCCACCGAAAAAAGCUGCCCGUCAAGAUGAUGAAAUGCAGUUUAUUGAAGAUGGUGAUGAUAUGUGGGAGUAUGGAAAUUAAAAAUCCUGCAGCCCUUUCAUAAAUAAAUACAGCAGAAUUACAGGUUCGAAAAUGUAAUUUAUUUCCUAAGUAUUUUUGAUGCUGAAGCCAGUCAGUUUUUAAGAAUGUUAAGUAUGACUCUGAGUGUGUGACCUGAUAUGAGGAGGAUAGUGCAAGCUACUAGAUUUGUGUUGCAUGCAGUGUGAACAUUUCAUAAGUGUACAACAAAGUGAUUUGGAUUAAUUAUUUCAAAACACGAACCUCAGAUGUUAAUAUUUCAAGAAACUGUUUUUUAGAAGAACUGCAAAUAUCAACAAGAAUAUAAUAAAAGGAUAUACAACACGUUAUGCACAACUGCAAUGGGGUAAGUUAAAAUUCUUGUACCUAUUUUUGCAUUCAUUCAUUCAUAUAUUUUAUUAUAAAUUUGUUGGUAAUAUAAUAUGAAUGGAUAAUUUUAUAUAAGAUAUUUAUUCUAUAUAAAAUGCUAACAUAAGUUUAUUUUAAUAUAGAGAGUAAA